rnacentral:rRNA from 1 species
AACGAACGCUGGCGGCGUGCCUAACACAUGCAAGUCGAACGCGAACGGGUUCUUCGGGACCUUAGUAGAGUGGCGCACGGGUGAGUAACGCGUAAGUUAUCUACCUCGGCAUCUGGAAUAACUCACCGAAAGGUGUGCUAAUACCGGAUACGUUGAGUAAUCAAGAAAGGUGGCCUCUCUUUGAUGCUACCGUGCUGAGAUGAGCUUGCGUACCAUUAGCUAGUUGGUGGGGUAAUGGCCUACCAAGGCGACGAUGGUUAGCGGGUCUGAGAGGAUGAUCCGCCACACUGGAACUGGAACACGGACCAGACUCCUACGGGAGGCAGCAGUGAGGAAUAUUGCGCAAUGGGGGCAACCCUGACGCAGCGACGCCGCGUGGAUGAUGAAGGCCUUCGGGUCGUAAAAUCCUGUCAGGUGGAAAGAAAUGUAUAUGUGCUAAUACCAUGUAUACUUGACGGUACCACCGAAGGAAGCACCGGCUAACUCCGUGCCAGCCGCCGCCGUAAUAC